UCUACGACUCUCGGCAACGGAUAUCUCGGCUCUCGCAUCGAUGAAGAACGUAGCGAAAUGCGAUACUUGGUGUGAAUUGCAGAAUCCCGUGAACCAUCGAGUCUUUGAACGCAAGUUGCGCCCGAGGCCUUUCGGUCGAGGGCACGCCUGCCUGGGCGUCACGC
rnacentral:rRNA from 3 species